CGACCCUCAAACAAUCCGCUCGGACACCGGCUCUAUUGUCCUAAGCGCUUGAAGGCGACGCAGGUUUUUAGUAGGGUUUACGAGCCGCUAAAACGUUCCUUCGCCAUUGUACCAAGAACGUUCCUUCGCAAAGAACUUAUGAGAGAAAUUUUCCUGCCGUCCAUCGUUCGCUGGUCCUCCAACUGGACGGCAGAUCUAACCUCAUCUUCCCCGAUCCCUCCCUCAAAUUCGCCAUAGCUCGUUACUAAGAGAGAGCGAGAGCGAGAACGAGCGAGCAAGAACGCGAGAGAGACGAGGAGGUCGAAGGGAUCGCGGAGAUGGGAGCCGAAGACGAGUAUCCUUCUAUUUUCCUUGAUUUUUCCUCGAACGAGGAGAGCAAUCAGUUCUUCUU
rnacentral:lncRNA from 1 species